rnacentral:ncRNA from 1 species
CUGUCACAACGGCUUCCUGACGUGAUGGUUUAAUUUGACAACGGAGCA